GUGCCAGCAGCCGGGGUAAUACGGAGGGUGCGAGCGUUGUCCGGAAUCACUGGGCGUAAAGGGCGCGUAGGCGGCUGUGUAAGUCACCUGUGAAAUUCCGGGGCUCAACUCCGGGGCGGCAGGUGAGACUGCACGGCUGGAGCUCGGUAGAGGCGAGUGGAAUUCCCGGUGUAGCGGUGAAAUGCGCAGAUAUCAGGAAGAACACCCGUGGCGAAAGCGGCUCUCUGGGACGGUACUGACGCUGAGACGCGAAAGCGUGGGGAGCGAACAGGAUUAGAUACCCUGGUAGUCCACGCUGUAAACGAUGGGUACUAGGUAGGGGGGGUUCCUAAGCCUUCCCUGCUGGAGCCAAUGUAUUAAGUACCCCGCCUGGGGAGUACGGCCGCAAGGCUAAAACUCAAAGGAAUUGACGG
rnacentral:rRNA from 1 species